UACGGGGGGGGCAAGCGUUGUUCGGAAUUACUGGGCGUAAAGGGCUCGUAAGCGGCCAACUAAGUCAGACGUGAAAUCCCUCGGCUUAACCGGGGAACUGCGUCUGAUACUGGAUGGCUUGAGUUUGGGAGAGGGAUGCGGAAUUCCAGGUGUAGCGGUGAAAUGCGUAGAUAUCUGGAGGAACACCGGUGGCGAAGGCGGGUCUCUGGGCCGAUACUGACGCUGAGGAGCGAAAGCGUGGGGAGCGAACAGG
rnacentral:rRNA from 1 species